GUGAUACAAAUAAAAUACCUCAGGAGGG
rnacentral:sRNA from 1 species